UACGGAGGGUGCGAGCGUUGUCCGGAAUUAUUGGGCGUAAAGGGCGCGUAGGCGGCCUUUCAAGUGACGGGUGAAAUCCCUCGGCUUAACCGAGGAACUGCCUGUCAGACUGGAAGGCUUGAGACCGGGAGAGGUGAGUGGAAUUCCCAGUGUAGCGGUGAAAUGCGUAGAUAUUGGGAGGAACACCAGUGGCGAAGGCGGCUCACUGGACCGGUACUGACGCUGAGGCGCGAAAGCGUGGGGAGCAAACAGG
rnacentral:rRNA from 1 species